AACGUAGGAGCCAAGCGUUAUCCGAAUUCACUGGGCGUAAAGCGCGUGCAGGCGGCUGGGUAAGUUGGAUGUGAAAUCUCCUGGCUCAACUGGGAGAGGCCGUUCAAUACUACCUGGCUUGAGGGCGACAGAGGGAGGUGGAAUUCCGGGUGUAGUGGUGAAAUGCGUAGAUAUCCGGAGGAACACCAGUGGCGAAGGCGGCUCACUGGACCGGUACUGACGCUGAGGCGCGAAAGCGUGGGGAGCAAACAGG
rnacentral:rRNA from 1 species